UACGUAGGUGGCGAGCGUUGUCCGGAUUUACUGGGCGUAAAGAGCGCGCAGGCGGUCGUACAAGUCGCGUGUGAAGGCCCCUGGCUCAACUGGGGAGGGUCACGCGAUACUGUUCGACUUGAAGGCAGGAGAGGGAAGUGGAAUUCCCGGUGUAGUGGUGAAAUGCGUAGAUAUCGGGAGGAACACCAGUGGCGAAGGCGACUUCCUGGCCUGUUCUUGACGCUGAGGCGCGAAAGCUAGGGUAGCAAACGGG
rnacentral:rRNA from 1 species